CUUUUCAGCCUUCUGUAUUGAGUAUAUUCGACCCUUUUCAGAAAUUAUGUUGCAGACGUCAUGCUUAAGGGAAAAGAUGUGUAGUAGAAGUGUUGGAAUUGUAUUUCCACCCAAAUAGUAGUAUAAGUUAAAGUGUCGGUGUCAUGACCUAUUGGUAGCUAGUAGCGUGUGUGGAUUGUAUGAUAAUUUGUGGGGGAAAUAUUUGACUCAGAUUUCUUUUAUCUA
rnacentral:lncRNA from 1 species